rnacentral:rRNA from 1 species
GAUGAACGCUGGCGGCGUGCCUAAUACAUGCAAGUCGAGCGAACGGACGAGAAGCUUGCUUCUCUGAUGUUAGCGGCGGACGGGUGAGUAACACGUGGAUAACCUACCUAUAAGACUGGGAUAACUUCGGGAAACCGUAGCUAAUACCGGAUAAUAUUUUGAACCGCAUGGUUCAAAAGUGAAAGACGGUCUUGCUGUCACUUAUAGAUGGAUCCGCGCUGCAUUAGCUAGUUGGUAAGGUAACGGCUUACCAAGGCAACGAUGCAUAGCCGACCUGAGAGGGUGAUCGGCCACACUGGAACUGAGACACGGUCCAGGCUCCUACGGGAGGCAGCAGUAGGGAAUCUUCCGCAAUGGGCGAAAGCCUGACGGAGCAACGCCGCGUGAGUGAUGAAGGUCCUCGGAUCGUAAAACUCUGUUAUUAGGGAAGAACAUAUGUGUAAGUAACUGUGCACAUCUUGACGGUACCUAAUCAGAAAGCCACGGCUAACUACGUG